UACAGGGAGGCAGGCCUGCGGCUGGCGCUGCAAGACAGGAGCUGAAGGGAGCCCCAGGGGGAUGCAAGACCCGAGACAGGAGAGGGCUGGAAGGCACUUUGGCAGUGCUAGCAUGUAUGAGUGUCUGGAGUUUGGAGUUGGAUGGCGGGGUCCAGGGAGCAGCCCUGAGACCUGCUAUUGUGCAAAAGACGAGUGAGAUUCUGGUGCAAAUCAUCCCAGCUGUUCUGAUUGGAAACCGCCGAGCAGAGCAAGCCAGUCAGCUUCUGGAGAGUGAAAUGGGGGGGAUCCCCCAGCCAAGCUGGUAUUUUCAUUUUCUCAUGCCCCAGAGAAGGGGGCCCGGCUCCCUGGUGCGGCCAUACCAGCCGGCAGCUCUAAUGAUCCCUCGCUGAAGAAUAUCCAGCAUCCGCAGCGUUCAGGGGGUCGCGGGCACCUGGGCUGCCUCCAGCCCUGAUGGGAGGUGGGAACGUGGGCCGCUAGGAUGGGUGCAAAUAAUAAAAACAAGCCUGUUCGUUGUCA